rnacentral:rRNA from 1 species
GAUGAACGCUGGCGGCAGGCCUAACACAUGCAAGUCGAGGGGCAGCACGUAAAGUGGUUUACUACUUUUGGUGGCGACCGGCGGACGGGUGCGUAACGCGUAUGCAACCUGCCCCCAACAGGGGGAUAACGGAGAGAAAUUUCCACUAAUACCCCAUAAUAUCAGAAUCGGCAUCGGUUUUGGUUGAAAACUCCGGUGGUGGGAGAUGGGCAUGCGUUGUAUUAGAUAGUUGGUGAGGUAACGGCUCACCAAGUCAACGAUACAUAGGGGGACUGAGAGGUUAGCCCCCCGAACUGGUAAUGAGACACGGACCAGACUCCUACGGGAGGCAGCAGUGAGGAAUAUUGGUCAAUGGGGGCAACCCUGAACCAGCCAUGCCGCGUGCAGGAAGACGGCUCUAUGAGUUGUAAACUGCCUUUACAAGGGGAUAAAUCGGUGUACGUGUACACCGUUGAAGGUACCUUGGGAAUAAGGAUCGGCUAACUCCGUGCCAGCAGCCGCGGUAA